GACAGUGAGCAGUGAGGCCUUCCUUAUAACCCCACCAUCCCUCGGGAUCUCUUUGCAUCUCCUGUCUUCUUCAUCUAACUCUCUUCUCUUCUCAUCUCUUUAUUUCUGUGUCUCCCUCUCUCCCCUCCUGACCCUCUUCCUUCUUGACUGUUUUUCUCUUCUUCUGAUUAAACAGGGACAAACAGGUUUCAUUCCCUUGAUUCAGACAGAAGGAUUCAACACAUCACCAACGUUAGAGAAGAGGCGCGAAAGAGGAGGCUGGGAGCCAGGUUUCAAGACUGCACAGGAAGGACCUCACUGCUCUGGGGACUGGGCAGGAAGCACACAUUCAAAACUACAUACCAUGGGAGUCUUCCUGGGAGGCCAGGAGCCUUUCCUCUUGCCACGAAGAGGCCAUUGCCACCAGGCUGGAACCUGGCUGGCUCCUGGGAGAAGCAUCCAACAGCCCUGGGCAGUUGCUGUCUCCAGAAGAGAAGACCGAGGCUGUGAGCAGAGUCAUGAAGCAAGGGUUGCCUGCCCAAGGCCACCACCAACAAAUAGCAGAGCUGAGCUCUGAACUUCCAGUCAUCAGAUGACAGUGUCUGCCUUUCCUACCUGCUCUAAGAACUCCAUAAACACACCACAGUGGAGACAAGAUCCAAAUGUCAGACAGAGGAAGGUGCCCCUCAUAUUUGGCUAGAAUAUAAACUCAUUCUUUGCAAUAGCCUGAAACUUGACAAACUUCUCAUAACAGAACUUGUACAGCAACUAAAUUCUGGCCAUACAGUUACAUGUGCCUGGUGGUUUUCUUUCUUGCUGGUGAAGCUGUCCCAGGGAGACUUGGGACUAGCCACUUAAUACUCAAAGUCCUUCUCGGAAGGCAGGAAGUAAAUGUGCAUGUGGAAGACAGGGUUGAGCUCGGGACUAUCACCUAUUAAACAUGCCUAGGUCACAGACCUCUUGAAUAAAACACAUGAUUCUGUGAAAGACAUGUCUUUUCAUCUAUACACUGAAGAUUCCAUUUUUUUUUUGCAAAUUUAUCACAUCACUGUGAAUUACUCUGUAGUUUUCAAAAGGGAUGCUCCACGAGAAAGAGCAGCAAUAUGCGACGUCUUUGUAUCUAGUCAGAGACCUUCUAGGUUUGUGUAACAAUUUGACAAAACAGGUUGGGAGAACAUAAAAACUUCUGAGCGCUCC
rnacentral:lncRNA from 1 species